UUUUCAUCAAUUGGCAAAAAACUCUGAUAAGUAAACUUCAUUCAUAUGUGUUUGUACUUUUAGUAUUUCAGUCCACGUUAGAGUAAACUGUCACAUUUCUGUCUUCUUGAACAUAAGGCAAUGAGGAUUCCAGCAAGUCCUGAAAAAGUAUUAAAUACUGCCAAAUCCAAUAGCUUCUAACUGCACCAUCAAUAGACUUUAACACAAGUGUUUUUUGUCUUCCCGUUCAACAUUUUUCAGGCUGAAUGUCUGUAACCUGUCAGAGAGAAGCUGUGAAACACUGUCCUCAGUUCUCAGCUCCGAGUCCUGUAGUCUGAGAGAGUUGGACCUGAGUAACAACAACAUAAAGGAGUCAGGACUGCAGCUUCUUUCUGCUGCAGUGGAGAGUCCAUACUGUACACUGGAAAUUCUCAGGGUGGAGCCUGUUGGAGUCCGAUGGUUGAGACCAGGUCUGAGGAAGUAUUCCUGUCAAC